GACGAACGCUGGCGGCGUGCUUAACACAUGCAAGUCGAACGGUAAGGCCCUUCGGGGUACACGAGUGGCGAACGGGUGAGUAACACGUGGGUGAUCUGUCCUGCACUUCGGGAUAAGCCUGGGAAACUGGGUCUAAUACCGGAUAGGACCACUGACUACAUGGGUGGUGGGGGAAAGCUUUUGCGGUGUGGGAUGGGCCCGCGGCCUAUCAGCUUGUUGGUGGGGUGAUGGCCUACCAAGGCGACGACGGGUAGCCGGCCUGCGAGGGGGACCGGCCACACUGGGACUGAGAUACGGCCCAGACUCCUACGGGAGGCAGCAGUGGGGAAUAUUGCACAAUGGGCGCAAGCCUGAUGCAGCGACGCCGCGUGAGGGAUGACGGCCUUCGGGUUGUAAACCUCUUUCAGCACCGACGAAGCGCAAGUGACGGUAGGUGCAGAAGAAGGACCGGCCAACUACGUGCCAGCAGCCGCCGUAA
rnacentral:rRNA from 1 species